UUUUUUUUUUUUUUGCUGUAUUAACCCCUUAUUGGUUAUAUCAUUUGCAAAUAUUUUCUCCCAUUCUGUAGGUUGUCUUUUCAUUUUGUUUAGUUGCCUUUGCUGUGCCAAAGCUUUUUAAUUUGAUGUAGUCCUGCUUAUUUUUGCUUUUGUUGCCAAAUUCAAAAAAUCAUCACCAAGGCUAUUAUCAAAGAGCUUAUCUUGUAUGUUUCGUUUAGGAGUUUUGUGAUUUCAGAUCCUUUAGUCCUGAAUGAUUCAUAUUUUUAAUCCACCUGGGGUUAAUUUUUUAUAUGGUAUAAGAUAGUAGUCCAGUUUCAUCCCUUUGCUUGUGGCUAUGCAAUUUUUCCUAACACCAUUUGUUGAAGAAACUGUCCUUUCCCCAUUGUAUAUUAUUGGUAGCUUUGUUGUAAAUUGAUCAUAUGUGCAUGGGUUUAUUUCUAGGCGCUCUAUUCUCAUUCAUUGAUCAUGUCUUUUUUGCUGAUGCCAUUCUGUUUUGAUUACUGUAGCUUUAAAAUAAAGUGUGAUGUUCCCCAGCUUGGUUCUUUCUCAAGAUUGCUUUGGCCAUUUGGGAACUUUAUUUCCAUACACAUUUUAGGAUUAUUUGUUCUAUUUCCGUGAAAAAUGCCAUUGGGAAUUUGAUAGAAAUUGCAUUAAAUCUUUAGAAUGCCUUGGGUAGUAUGGACAUUUAAAUAGUAUCGACCCUUCCAAUUCAUGAACACAAUAUAUCUAUUUAUUUGUGUCUUCAAUUUCUUUCAUAAACGUCUCACAGUUUUCAGUGUACAGGUCUUAACCUCCUUGUUUAAAUUUAUUCCUAAGUAUCUAUGGAGUUCCCCUCGUGGUGCAGUGGUUAACCAACUCGAAUAGGAACCAUGAGGUUGCGGGUUCGAUCCCUGGCCUUGCUCAGUGGGUGAAGGAUCUGGCACAGACGCAGUUCAGAUCCUGCAUUGCUUUGGCUCUGGCAUAUAGGCUGGCAGCUUCGCUACAUCUCCGAUUGGACCCCUCGCCUGGGAACCUCCAUAUGCUGCCGGUGCGGCCUUAGAAAACACAAAAAGACAUAAAAAAUUUUUUAUUUGUGCACAUCUUAUUCUUCCUGAUGCAAUUGCAAAUAGGAUUGUUUUUUUAAUUUCUUUUUCUGAUAGUUCAUUAUUAGUCUAUAGAAAUGCAACCGAUUUCUAUAUACUGAUUUUAUAUCCUACUUUACUGAAUUCAUUGAUGAGUUCUAAUUUUUUUUGGUGCAGUCUUUUAGGGUUUUUAAUGUAUAAUAUCAUGUUAUCUGCAAAUAGCAACAGUUUUACUUCUUCCUUUCUGAUUUGAGUGGGUUGUAUUUCUCUUUCUUGCCUCAUUGCUCUGGCUAGGACUUCCAAUGCCAUGUUGAAUAAAAGUGGCAGAAAUGGGCAUCCUAGCCUCUUUUCUGAUCUUAGAGGAAAAGCUUUCAUCUUUUCUCUUCUGAAUAUGAUGGUUGCUGUGGGCUUGUGAUACAUGGCUUUUAUUAUGUUGCGGGAUGUUGUCUCUAUACCCGCUUUGUUAAGACUGUUCACCAUAAAUGGAUGUUGCAUUUUGUCAGAUGCUUUUCUGCAUCUAUUGAGGUGAUCAUGUGAUUUUUACCCUUCCUUUUGUUAAUGUGGUGUAUCACACGUUGGUUUGUGGGUGUUUUACCAUCCCGAAUCCUUGGAAUAAAUCCUACCAGAUCAUGGUGUGUGAAUCUUCUAGUGGACUAUUGAAUUUGGUUCACUGAUAUUUUGAGGAUUUUCCCAUUAUGUUUAUCAGAGAUAGUGACCUCUAAUUUUCUUUUCUUGUGGUAUCUUUGAGUUUGGUAUUAAUGUAACACUGGCCUUGUAGGAUGAGUUUGGAAGUGUUUCCUCUUCUGCGUUUUGGAAGAGUCUGAGGAUUCGUAUGUAUUCUUUAAAUGUUUGAUUAGGGAUUCAGUUUUCUUCCUAGUUAUUGGUCUGCUUAGAUUUUCUCUUUCUUCAUGACUCAGUCCUGGUGUGUAAUUGUUUACAGUAGUCUGUCUCCCUUUUUCUUUCUUUCGCUUUUUUUUUAGGGCUGUAGCUGCGGCAUAUGGAGGUUCCCAGGCUAGGGGUCCAGUCAGAGCUGUAGCUGCCAGCCUGUGCCACAGCAACGCCAGAUCAGAGCUGCGUCUGUGACCUACACCAAAGCUAACAGCUAUGCCAGAUCCUUAACCCACUGAGCGAGGCCAGGGAUCAAAACUGUGUCCUAAUGGAUUCAAGUCAGAUUCAUUUCUGCUGAGCCACAACAGGAACUCCCCACCCAUUUUUUGAUGGGGUUGUUUGUUUUUUUGGUAUUGAGCGUCAGACGGUGUUUAUAUAUCUUGGAGAUUAAUACCUUGUCAGUCACUUCAUUUGCAAAUAUUUCCUCCCAUUCUGUGGGUUUUCUUUUCGUUUUGUUCAGGGUUUCCCUUGCUGCGCAAAACCUUUUAAGUUUAAUUAGGUCCCAUUUGUUUUUGUUUUUAUUGUCACUACUCUAGGAGGUGGAUUUAAGAAGAUAUUGCUGUGGUUUAUGUCAGAGAGUGUUCAGCCUGUUUUCCUCUAAGAGUUUUAUAGUAUCCGGUCUUUUUUUUUUUUGUUGACUUUUGUUGUUUUAAGGCCUCAUCCGUGGUAUAUGGAGAUUCCCAGGCUAGGGGUCUAAUUGGAGCUACAGCUGCCAGCCUGUGCCACAGCCACAGCCAUGCCAGAUGGGAGCUGCGUCUGUGACAUACACCACAGCUCACGGCAAUGCCAGAUCCCUAACCCACUGAGCGAGGUCAGGGAUCAAACCUGUGUCCUUAUGGAUGCUAGUCA
rnacentral:lncRNA from 1 species